rnacentral:rRNA from 1 species
AUUGAACGCUGGCGGCAGGCCUAACACAUGCAAGUCGAGCGGCAGCGGAAAAGUAGCUUGCUACUUUUGCCGGCGAGCGGCGGACGGGUGAGUAAUGCCUGGGGAUCUGCCCAGUCGAGGGGGAUAACUACUGGAAACGGUAGCUAAUACCGCAUACGCCCUACGGGGGAAAGCAGGGGACCUUCGGGCCUUGCGCGAUUGGAUGAACCCAGGUGGGAUUAGCUAGUUGGUGAGGUAAUGGCUCACCAAGGCGACGAUCCCUAGCUGGUCUGAGAGGAUGAUCAGCCACACUGGAACUGAGACACGGUCCAGACUCCUACGGGAGGCAGCAAUGGGGAAUAUUGCACAAUGGGGGAAACCCUGAUGCAGCCAUGCCGCGUGUGUGAAGAAGGCCUUCGGGUUGUAAAGCACCUUCGGCGAGGAGGAAAGGUUGGUAGCUAAUAACUGCCAGCUGUGACGUUACUCGCAGAAGAAGCACCGGCUAACUCCGUGCCAGCCGCCGCCGUAA